ACCUAAAUCCCUAACCAAAUCGGUGCCCCCAUCUCUAAGCCGCCACCGCGUCAACAACACCCCAAACUCGCCGGAACUCGCUGGAAAUUGCAAGUUAACUCAUGGUCCUCUUUUCCCUUUCUCUCUUUCUUCCAUGUGGCCUAACAAAUAAUCGAUUUUUGGUUCGAAUAUUCCCUCACCCUUUAUUAUUCGCGUUUUGAUUUUCUUUCUCACACGUGGAUCUCUUUCAACGGUAGAUGAUGGACGAAGGGUAGGAUAUGAUUAAUGAAAAUUAAUGAUACCCCUCCAUUUUCCCAUAUUUUUACCGAAAAUGAGGAAAUUUUCGGAACUUUGGAGCUUUUUCGGAUUUAGAGAUAAAAAUCGAUUCCUUGGUGAGGAAGCAUAGAAGGUUCGAGACCCUCUAUAUAUUUGGGUGUUUUUCUCAGUUAUUUGGCUUUUAGACAGAAGUUUUAGGUUUUUUUGGGCGGGGUGGGGGGUCGGGGGAGAAGUUGAAGAAAUUAGGGUUCUGGGGCUCUUGCGGCUUUCUUAUGAUUCUUCCAUUUUCAUUUUCAAUUUUCACUUCCAGAAAUACUAAAAAAAUGAAUGAAAAAAAUUAUUAUUUUCAGUUUCUGUUUUCAUUGUUCUUCAUGGGAUUUGAUCGAAGUGUGGUUGAGUGCUGAAGAUUUGUUCGUCAGUCGAGGUGACCUUGCCCACGUUCUGUAAGCUGUUUUCCCACUCUGUUGCUUCAUUGUUGACUCUGGAUUUUCAGUAGCUGUUUUGUUCUCAAGUUUGUCACCAAAUCUUUUUCUGUUGUAAUCGACUCCCGACAGAAUUAAUCGAAGGCUAAUUUCCAGGUUCGUCUUUGCUUUUUACUCCGUUAAUGAUGAUUCAAAGUAUGAUAAUAUGGACUUAGAAGUCCUGUGUGUUCUGCCGUGUUCUAUGUAUGCAUACAUCUUAUAAUCUUAGAAUAUGCUUGAGCGCAACACGAUCGACUAAAGUGAUACUACGCUUGUGAUUAAAUGGAUUCCUGAAAUACGCCGCUUUGUUUGAUUUGUAUCGCUAUGUGUUUCGUUUUAGUCUUCUUUACUCUUCUCUGAUGGACUCAUUUAAAGGGUCAAAUGACGAAUAUGUGCUUCAAAGUUUUGUUUCAAAUCUAACAUGAACACUCGCUGUUUUAAUCUCAUGGUUUUGCGACAUGUGAAUAGGAAGAUCAAUGUUUUAAAAUGCUUAAUACAUAGCUGAAUCUUAGCUUCAUUUACUUCUGUUUAGUGUAGUAAAAUUCAUUUUCCUAUGCCUCUAUUACUUUGUUUUCCUUGGUGAACAUUUUGCAUUCUUAAGUUUAAAAGAACUCGGAAACAUACUGUCUCGCUAUUAAGCUUUUCAUCAUACCCUUCCUUUCUUGUUGAUGAUAGCAUCAGAUUGAUUCACAUGGAAUUCUGUUUUGAUUACUGAACAUCGAAAGCUGAUUUGUGGCGCCUUAGCUGAUUUUCUUGCUGUCAGUUUAAACGCAAAGUGCGUGCUGGAAUUUCCUCGAAAUGGUUUUCACUAUUGGUGUGACUCAAUCUUUAUAAAUUAUGUUGAAAUCUCGUGCCUAAAGCGAGCUGGUUAAGGUUCUUCGGGUUUUAAAACAAUGACAAAGUCAUAGUGUCAAGUGAGUUUGCGUCAGUGAUAUGAAGUAGAUCAGUUGAUUCACAUAAUUAAGUUACGAGCUUCUCGGGAUGGGGGAGCAGCUAAGUUGAGGAUUUAAUAAGGAUUUAGGGUGUUGGAAAGUACUUAAAGGCUCUUUGAUGCUUCUGAUUCAUUUUACCAUUAUUGGUUGCUUCAAUUUCUUUCAAUUUGUCUCUUCAGUUGUCUUGAAUGCUUUUUGCCUAUGUGUUAUGUGUUGUUUUGUUGGAUCCAUGUUAAUGCUUGCCUGAUGAUUCGGCUGGGGAGUUGGGAUCUUAAAGAAACAUAAUUGAAAAUUUGACAACAUGUUCAUUAUCCUAUUUUAUUGUUUUAAUCGUUAAAAAGCAUGCUUAGGCCGACAAUAUUUUGGGUAGGCAAGUUUUAGGAUGUAAGGUGAGAGGUCGUUACCUUAGUUAAAUUAUUCGUAAAAUGCCUCAAAGGACUCUUAUAUUCCGGGAUAUGCCCCGAAGUACUUGUAUUUAUAGGCCUAAAGUACAACUCGUAGUAUUUUUAGAGUUAGUUUUAUUUUCUUUUUCUUAAUUAGGUGAGAACAACCUCGAACCAUGUUCUUUUCAUUCAG
rnacentral:lncRNA from 1 species